UCAGCACAGAGCCCUAUGUGGAGCUCAAACUCAUGAACUACAAGAACAUGAUCUGAGCUGAAGUCAGAUGCUUAACCGACCGUGCCACCCAGGCACCUCCACGAGCUGAUUUUCAACAUGGCUGUAGCACUUUAUACUUUUAUUUUUUUUUAAAUAUUAUUUAUUUUGAGUGAGGAAAAGAGAGCAGGGGAGGGGCAUAGAAAGAGGAAGAGAGACAGAAUCUCAAGCAGGCUCCAUAUGCCAUGUGGAGGCCCGAUCAGGGGCUUGAUCCCACCACCUUGAGAUCAUGACCUGAGCCAAAAUCAAGAGUCUGACACCCAACUGAGCCACCCAGGCACCCUGGAUGUAGCACUUUAAAUUCUCACUAGCAGUGUAUAACAUUUAUAGGUGCUCUACAUUUCCAUCAGAAUAUGGUAUUGUUAGUUUAUUAUUUUUUUAAAUUUCAGUUAUUCUCAAAGAUGUGCAGUAGUAUCACAUUUUGGUUUUUAUUUGUAUUUCCAUAAUAACUGAAGAUUUUGAAUAUCUUUAUCAUCUAUAUAUCUUCUUUGGUGAAAUGUCUGUUCAAUUUUUGUAUCUAUUAAAGUUUUCUUAUUGUUGAACUUUGAGAGUUUGUUAAACAUUCUGGAUACACAUCCUUUGUUAAAUACAUGAUUUGUAAAUAUUUUCUCCUAGUCUAUGGCUUGUCUUUUCAUUCUCUUGACAGUCUUUUACAGAGAAAGUUUAAAAUUUUGAUGAAGCCUAAUUUAUGGAUUUUUUUCUUUUAUGGAUUACGCUUUUGGUGUCAUGGUUGAAAAGUUUUGCCUAACCCCAUGUCAUGAAGAUACUGUUCCUGUAUUUUCUUUUAAAAGUUUUACAUUUAGAUCUAUAAUAUAUUUUGAGUUAAUUUUCAGAUAAGAUGUGAUGUAUAGGUCAAGUUUCAUUUUUGUUUUUUUUUAUAUGGAUGCCCAUUUGUUCCUGCACAGUUGGUUCAAAAGAUUCAUUCUCCACUGAAUGGCUUUUGCACUGUUAUCAGUUACCUAUUGACCACUUUUGUGUACUAUUUUCAGACUUCCUAUUUGAAUUCAUUGCUAUAGUUACCUAUCCUGUCACCAAUUUCACACUGGAAUGAUUAUAAAUGAAAAGUUGGAGAAAUUGGAGAAAUUCUUCAGGAAAUUGGAGGAGAAUGAAGUCCCUCUACCUGUUUGCACCUCCUGUCAUAUAUCAUUCUCUGAAUUCUAGGAAUUCCUCUUCAGGAUAGCACUUUAAAGAUAUCAAAAUGGAAAGCUGUCUGUCUGACUUUCUCAAAUAUAGACAAUCUUAUAGUAUUGUCUAGCUCUCACAACAUACUGAGAUAAGAUGAUAAGCGUCCAGUAUGCAAAAAGAAAGUUGAAAACCACCAAAAACAUCAAAGUAGAAAAGCUGCAAAGCCUCGAGGAAAUGGCCUUCCUUGAUCAUGUGUUGGUUUGCUUUUCUUUAGUUCAUAGGAUCUGAGACUAGUGGCCAUGUCUGUGUCAUCUCUCUUGAGGCUUAUUUCUUUGCUGUUAAACAUUUCAGCUCUUUAAACAUAGAGCAUCUCUCAUUUAUAGGGAGAAUCUAGAAUCUUAGAAUUGGCAAAGUACUUUGAAGCUAUCUGGGUCAAUUUCUCAUCCAUCAAGUAAGACAAAUGCUACUUGUUAUGUUGAGCACUGGGUGUUACGUGUAAGUGACUAAAUUCUACUCCUGAAACCAAUGUUACACUGUAUGUUAACUAACUAGAAUUUAAAUAAAAUUUGAAAAUUUUGAAAAACUUGAAAAAAAAUAAGACAAGUGCUUUUAUUAAAUUUUUCUGCAUUAAGGAUAUGGUAUUUUUUUCCAGGAACAAGUGGCCACUACACCGCUUUAGAGCAAUGAACUGCUUUUGUGUUAUCAUAGCUAGACCUGUCUCAUAACACAGGUGUGAUUCUAUAGCUGUCCAGUCUGCCUAUCCAGUGCUCAGGCCAUUUAACUCCCCUGCUGAAGUGUCCCACCAUUUUAGAGCCCUGCUGAAGUGUCCCACUAUUUUAAGUCCAGUUUCAUUCAUAUGUUGUCUUAGACUGGAGACCCUGGAUGCCUGUCCAGCUACAAAACUGUGCUCAUCUGAGCAGUGAUCUUAUAUUUACAUAUAGUACUUAUAGUAUAAUAUAUAAGAGUAAU